CUAUUUUUUUGAUGGAUUGCAGUAAAAGAUUACUGAAGAUUCCUUGGCUUUCAACCUACAAGACUCUUACUAUUUAAAUAAGGAGGAAUAUUAUGUGAAUAUACAUAUCAAGAACUUUGGGGGUUUUGAAAAAAAAAUUCAAUUGUACAUAUAUACACAAAUCAACUUUAAAAAUGAAUUUCAAUUGCUUGAGGCAAUUGUUCUGAAUGAUACUUUUUCAUUCACAUUCAAGAAUUAAUUUUUUGAAGAUUUAUGUUACAUAAUGGAAUUAGGCAUGUGGAACACCAAACGGGAAAGAACUAUGUCUGAAAUAUAAAAAAUAAAAAUAAAAAAACAACCAUGAAUAUGCACAAGGGACACACCAAUGGAAUGUCAGAUAAUUUUCACCAGUUUUUAUUUGGAGCCGUUUUAUUGUGUAGACCAUAUUUACAUAUUUGAGAGAUUUAUCUGUUUGUUUCUUACCCAACUUGCUCCAGAAAGUAUUCAAUGUAGAUUCACUUUUACUUGUGAUAUGAAUAUUUCUCCCACAGAAAAUCAAGCCCCAAGCCAUUGGCCUGAGAUAACGUGAUUGAUGGUUCCAUUUCGUAUUUGUGUCUCAUCUAAGUUACUCUUCCUGAGGAUUAAACCGGCACUAGGUAUGGGUGGGGAUGCUUCAAUUACCCUUAGAUAUUAAAUCUUAUAACCCACAUUCCCAAUCACAUUUUCUUCCCUGAGUUAAACCAAUGUAUUUGUGAGUCUAUAGCCUUUUCCUGGAUGUUUUUGUCUUUUAAGGAUUAUUCCUGAAAAUGGCCUGCAUCUUUAUGUGAAUGAUUUCCAGUUUUUUCUUCCAGCCUCAAAGUCAUUUUUAAAUGCUGCUCGAUAUUACUCAGAAGCCAGAGAAAUAUUUCAAGUGACCUUAUCCCAUCUUAGAUACUAAGUCUAGUAGUCACCCUUAGACUCUUCCCAGUUCUCAAAAUAUUACUGGCUCUAUUAUCUGACUACACUAGCACCCUAUUUAAAGCUAACAUUGAUUAAUUACCAUGUGUCAGGAACUAUGCUGAGUAUUUUGACAGACAUUAAUCCAUUUGAUCCUCAUAUAACCCUAUUUAGUAGAUGCUAGUACCAUUCUCAUUUUAUAGAUUAGAAAACACAUAGGUUAAGUAGCUACCUCUAGUGAAUUUAUCCAUUAAUUGAGGGAAUUAUAAUCCAUGCAGUCUGGCUCCAAAGAGUUAGUGCUUUCCCUCUACACCAUCUUCCCUGCCACCCCCGCCAAAAAAAAAAAGUAGUAUAAUUUCAAUUCAGAUAAAACAAUAUACAGUUGUCUGACACUUCGGUCCAUAAAAUUU
rnacentral:lncRNA from 1 species